rnacentral:rRNA from 1 species
UCGAGAAUUUUUGACAAUGGGGGAAACCCUGAUCGAGCGACGCCGCGUGGAGGAUGAAGGUCUUCGGAUUGUAAACUCCUGUCAUUGGGGAACAAUGCACAGAUAUUAACUGUAUUUGUGUUGAUAGUACCCGAAGAGGAAGGGACAGCUAACUCUGUGCCAGCAGCCGCGGUAAUACAGAGGUCCCAAGCGUUGUUCGGAUUCAUUGGGCGUAAAGGGUGCGUAGGCGGCGCGGUAAGUCGGGUGUGAAAUCUCGGGGCUUAACUCCGAAACUGCAUUCGAUACUGCCGUGCUUGAGGACUGGAGAGGAGACUGGAAUUUACGGUGUAGCGGUGAAAUGCGUAGAUAUCGUAAGGAAGACCAGUGGCGAAGGCGGGUCUCUGGACAGUUCCUGACGCUGAGGCACGAAGGUCAGGGGAGCAAACG